CAAUACAGGAUAUGUCGUAUUGACUUUUUCUUUUCAAAGUAUUUGCACUUUUCAAUCUAAUCCGAGAUUCCUCUGACUCUUACCUCCGCUUUUGAAGUACGUCACAAUAUAAAAGCGGGCGUUAGAGUCAGCGGAAUCUCGGAAUAUUAUCUGUCCACUGUAUUUUCACGGUAGCUGCAGAACUGUAGCUCUCCGGGAAAAAAAUAUUGACAGACCGGAGAGCUACAGGGCCACCCAUUGAAAAAAUUGUACAUGUAUAUUUAUUGCGCAGAAAAACGUGCGCUAGUUUUGGACUGAUUUACCUUAUUUAUACGCAAAUUCUGUGAAAACAUUAGUACCAUUAAAUUCUUCAUGCAAUUUACUACUGAUAUCGACUCUUUAUUUGCCUCAGACUUUCUCCGAAACACGCUACCGACCUCGGAAAAUCAAGUAUGUUGAAUUUACAUCGAGAUCGAGAGUCGCCAUUUUUACAUGUAAACAAAAUGGACCACAUGAAUUUACGGGACUGGUGAUGGUGUUUAAAAGACUAUCCGAGGCAAGUGAAGAGAGGAUAUCAGUAGUAAAUUGCAUGAAGAAUUUAAAAUUAAAAGCGGUGGGAGUCCUAAGCUUAAAGCAGACUCUUGUUACCACAUGGCUUUUACCUGUUGAUUCUUGUGGUUUCAGCUCUUGAGGUUAACCUGUCACCUCUAACCACAUGCAUAUUCCCUGUGUUCUACAGACUAUCUACCGGUAAUUCAAAUUAAAUCGGAUAAUGCAUGAACAAUAAUGGAACUUUAAGAAAGCAUCAUGUCCUAUUGUGGUUUGUUCAUGUUUGAUAAGAAAUUAUGAAAAACAAAAUUAAGGCUGUUUAAAGAAAUAUAAUUGUUGUGAAAAUUUGUUUUUCAAUAAAAGUAUGCAAUUAUA